ACACAUUGUGUUCUCUUCCCUGCAAGAUCACGGCACUCAUGACCAACCACGAAUUGAAUCUGUCCAGGGUCAGGUGUGGGUUCAGCUGCCCCAUAACCCUAGAAUGGAGUUCCUUCCUGCCAGCAGGGUGAAGAGGAAGUGAUUGGAAUAGACACUGUCUUUCCAGAAGGUUCCAAGGGUCUUAGUGCUGGAGACAGAAGAACAGUGAAGGAUACACCAGCCUUCCUUCGUGCUGCUGCAGCAUGUGAGAUUGUAGCAUGUGAGAACCUGGCGUUUAUACUCUCACCCCUUCCUGACCUUCUUCUUGGUCUUCCCAACGGGAUGUGUCCCACUCUUUGGUUAACCCUCAGAUGGAGAUGUAGAACUCUGCACCAUGCCUGCCUGGAUGCUGCCAUGUUCCUGCCUUGAUGAUAAUGGACUGAACCUCGGAACCUAGUGUCCUUCAGUGAUUCGGGGUGAACUUCAUCUCAGAUGGACUGAUCCUUUAAUUUCUCCAAAGCAGCCCACUUCUGUGGUCAACGUGAGUGGCCGAUGAGCCAUUGUAUUUGAGUGUCUCUCCUUCCCACGGGGAAGUCUAAGCUUUCAUUGGUUUUCAUGCUCUGAUCAGCUCCAGGAUGGGGAGAUGAGAGCUGACUGUUGAAAGUGGCAGUGGUUUGAUCUGCGUGUGUUGGCACAUGCCCGUCCUGCAGCACUUGGGAGGCAGCAGCAGGAGAUUCCGGAGUUCAAGGCUUGUAGUUCCGCUGCUCUUCUAGAGGACCGGACAUCACUGAUGUGAGAAAGUUCACAGUGGCCUGUAACUCCAGCCACAGUGGGUAUGAUGCCCUCUUCUGGUCUCCUCAGGCAACUUUGCACAUGUGACAUACACACACACACACAUAUAAAUGAGAAUAAUAAAAACAAAUCUUUAUUUAAAAAACAAACAAACAGACAAAAAAUAAACAAAGCCAGUGUUUUUGGUGACAGGA
rnacentral:lncRNA from 1 species